rnacentral:rRNA from 1 species
AACGUAGGUGGCAAGCGUUAUCCGGAUUUACUGGGCGUAAAGGGUGUGCAGGCGGGGACCAAGUGGUGUAUGAAAUCUCCCAGCUUAACUGGGAUAGGUUAUGCCAGACUGGUUUUCUAGAGUGCGAGAGAGGGGCGUGGAAUUCCGGGUGUAGUGGUGAAAUGCGUAGAGAUCCGGAGGAACCCCAGAGGCGAAGGCGGCGCCUGGCUCGCAACUGACGCUCAGACACGACAG